GAAUCCUACGGGGGGCAGCAGUGGGGAAUAUUGCACAAUGGGGGAAACCCUGAUGCAGCAACGCCGCGUGAGUGAAGAAGUAUUUCGGUAUGUAAAGCUCUAUCAGCAGGGAAGAAGAUGACGGUACCUGAGUAGGAAGCCCCGGCUAACUACGUGACAGCAGCCGCGGUAAUAAGUAGGGGGCAAGCGUUAUCCGGAAUUACUGGGUGUAAAGGGAGCGGAGACGGCAAUGCAAGUCCGGAGUGGAAUGCGGCAGC
rnacentral:rRNA from 1 species